UUUUCAGAUGGGAUUCUAAGA
rnacentral:piRNA from 1 species